CCUUCCAUUUCGUCGUCAAUGUCGACCCCUUCUCUUUUUUUCCCUUGUGGCCCAUCCCUCAUCAAUGUCAUCAUCACCAUCGCCAAUCACAUGCCUAGAAGUUGCCCACGUCACUACAAAUAGUUGCCACAAACAACUUAUUGUGCCGCCUCUUCCCAAGCCAUGCUCCCGUCCAUCGAUGAUUCUUGUUGCGCAUCUUUCGACAAAUGACAACAUUGUUUGACUUCCUCCUCUUCCCUUCAAUGGGAGUGGAUUGCUGGAUGAGCAACUAUACAAGGAUGUGAGGAAGAUGUUUGACGCAAUGUCUGAACCAAACUGGCAUAGGCUACUCCAUCGGAUUAGUCGCUUCUCAUGUCUGUCAGUUCAAGAAGUUGUUUGCUUUAGGUUGUUCACUAGAAAUUGUCUCUUGGUGAACAACUUGAACCUCCGUUGGUAGUCUCAAAGGAGCUUUUUUCCAUGGCAAGAUAAGUCUCCUACCUCAUAUGGUUACAUUUUCCUUAUGUGAUCUUAGCUUUUUCAAUGCUCUUAUAUUACAUGGUAGUUUAAUUCAUAUAGCGGUAAAUAUAUUAUUUCUGCCUAUACUCGAUUUAGUGUGCACAUAUUACUCUUUUCAGGAUUCAAACUCUUUUAAUUCGGACAUAAUUAAGGUCGAGAUCAAAGGUGACAAUAUCAACCUCCUAUUCGUACAAGGAUCAAGUGCAUAUUAUAUCUCCAUCGGCAAAUGCCCGUCUCUGAGCCAAACUCCCUCGACUCGAAUAUAGUCGUGGUCAAGAUCAAAGGAACUUAGGAACACAAGAAGUCGAGCAGAAGAUGCAGCGAGCGAGAAUGAUGACACAAUAAUAGAAUCUACCGGCUUGGUGCUUCUGAAGGAUGAGGAGUUACGAAAAAGUACACUGAUGGAGCAAGGAGGACACGCAUGGCGUAUCCGAGAGACGAGAAACUGGGAGGAAGUAUGCUUAAGGAGAAGGUCAGAGUUGGGUUCGAGUAAGCUCAACUUUGAAUGACCGGAGGAACACCCGAGUGAGUGGAGUCCGAAAAAUGGUCAACUCAGAAGUUGACUUGAAGACCUGAGGCGCCUCAAUUGAUUGGUGGCACCUCAGAUGCACAACAGUUAAGUUGUCGCAAAUGGGGCUUGAGACACCUCUGAUGGACUGGAGGCACCUCAAAUGAACAAUAGUCGAGAUGCCUCCAGAUAAUCAGAGGUGCUUCCAAUGUCGCAGAACCAUUGAGGAGCCAUUGCGAUAUGAAUGAGAUUCUAUCUCAUUGGAGACGCCCUGGAUGUCAUUAGAAAUGUCUCCAAUGUCACGUCGACAACAUUAACUUUUGCCCAGAGGGCUAUAAAUAACACCCUCAAGAUAGGAGUUCAACAACACACCUUAUACUCAUUUCUGUAUUUUAUUUCUGAGCUUCUGACUGUUGUAAGGGUCUUCUCCACCUCCAAUAUUAUUGAAAAGAGAGUUUGUUAGUGCUUCUAUUUGUCUUGGGUUAACAACUUUGGUUGUAAUCAAAUAGCCCUUUAUCUCUUACUUUUUUACUUUUAUUAUUUGUUUUCAAUUAAUUAAGUGUGCCCUUGCUAAGUAAGCAAUGGAGCAAAUUGACUAAAAUCCAUGAGGUCCCCUCCAUUGCACCAAACUAAGAAGAAUCC